GACGAACGCUGGCGGCGUGCUUAACACAUGCAAGUCGAACGAAGUGGCGAACGGGUGAGUAACGCGUAAUCAACCUGCCCUUCAGAGGGGUACAACAGUUGGAAACGACUGCUAAUACCGCAUACUGAAGGAUGUGAAUUCGUUGGAUUAGCUAGUUGGAGGGGUAACGGCCCACCAAGGCGAGGCUCAGUAGCCGGUCUGAGAGGUGUAACGGCCACAGUGGGACUGAGACACGGCCCAGACUCCUACGGGAGGCAGCCGUGGGGACUCUUCCGCAAUGGACGAAAGUCUGACGGAGCAACGCCGCGUGAGUGAUGACGGCCUUCGGGUGGUAAAGCUCUGUUAAUCGGGACGCGGUACCGAAAUAGAAAGCCACGGCUAACUACGUGCCAGCAGCCGCGGUAAUUC
rnacentral:rRNA from 1 species